GUGCUCGCUUCGGCAGCACAUAUACUAAAAUUGGAACACGACAGAGAAGAUUAGCAUGGCCCCUGUGCAAGGAUGACAUGCAAAUUCAUGAAGCAUUCCAUAUUUUU
rnacentral:snRNA from 1 species